AGAGUUUGAUCAUGGCUCAGGGUAAACGCUGGCGGCGUGCCUAAAACAUGCAAGUCGAACGGACUAUCGCAAGGUGGUCAGUGGCAGACGGCUGAGUAACGCGUGGGUGACGUACCUGUUGGUGGGGAAUAACUGCCCGAAAGGGUGGCUAAUUCCGCAUAAGUCCUUCGGAUCAGACUGAAGGGGAAAGCCGCAAGGCGCCGAUGGAGCGGCCCGCGUCCGAUUAGCUUGUUGGUGGGGUAACGGCCUACCAAGGCGACGAUCGGUAGCUGGUCUUAGAGGAUGAUCAGCCAGACUGGGACUGAGACACGGCCCAGACUCCUACGGGAGGCAGCAGCUAGGAAUUUUGGGCAAUGGGCGCAAGCCUGACCCAGCAACGCCGCGUGGGUGACGAAGGCCUUCGGGUUGUAAAGCCCUUUUCUGAGGGAAGAUGAUGACGGUACCUCAGGAAGAAGCACCGGCUAACUACGUGCCAGCAGCCGCGGUA
rnacentral:rRNA from 1 species